rnacentral:lncRNA from 1 species
GGCAUAGAAGAAAGGAGUGUAGGAUUGGUAAGCUUUGCCGGAAAGAAGCUAGUCGACUAAUUCAGGAGGCUACUACCGGCGAAGCCUGCUUCGGAGCGUGCUAUUGCGUGAAGCGGAAAGGGACAGCGGAAUCUAAGGCCACACCAGACAGGGAAAAGGAGGAUUAGAUAUUUCGUCAACCACCACUUGAGCGCGAUUCGCUUAUCUGUUGAAAAGUACCAUCCAGACAGU